AUUUGUUUCUCCUUUUUUCCCCCCCUGUAGUAUGAAUGGCGCGCUUGCCUUUGUGGAUACGUCCGACUGCACUUUGAUGAACAUAGCAGAGCACUACAUGGCCUCCGAUGUGGAGUGGGACCCCACUGGACGCUAUGUGGUCACCUCAGUCUCCUGGUGGAGCCACAAGGUGGACAACGCUUAUUGGCUGUGGACAUUCCAGGGUCGCCUUCUU